rnacentral:rRNA from 1 species
AACGAACGCUGGCGGCAGGCUUAACACAUUCAAGUCGAGCGCCCCGCAAGGGGAGCGGCAGACGGGUGAGUGACGCGUGGGAAUCUACCCAUCUCUACGGAAUAACGCAUGGAAACGUGUGCUAAUACCGUAUACGUCCUUCGGGAGAAAGAUUUAUCGGAGAUGGACGAGCCCGCGUUGGAUUAGGUGGUUGGUGGGGUAAAGGCCUACCAAGGCGACGAGCCAUAGCUGGUCUGAGAGGAUGAUCAGGCACACUGGGACUGAGACACAGCCCAGAGUCCUACGGGAGGGAGCAGUGGGGAAUAUUGGACAAUGGGCGCAAGCCUGAUCCAGCCAUGCCGCGUGAGUGAUGAAGGCCCUAGGGUUGUAAAGCGCUUUCACCGGUGAAGAUAAUGACGGUAACCGGAGAAGAAGCCCCGGCUAACUUCGUGCCAGCCGCCGCAGUAAGAC